CCAAAUAGCAUUACUUCGCUUUCUGGAGCUUCCCGGAUCCCUGCUUUUCUCAACAUCUUUUCUGCCAGAAAUGCAUUUCAGUCUGAAAGACCUUCCUACAUAUGAAGAAAUUUGAGGAGAUAACUUAUAUACCUAGUGAAGGUUAAUCCCAGAUGCACGGAGCCGCCACUGUUUGAGAUGCUGCUUGCCUCCACGAAAGAAAGAGAAUCAAACUCCUGAUGGUCCUGUGCCAACAAUGACUUGCCUCUGCCUGGCUUUGACUUUGCAAAUGGCAUCAUCUCUGCUCCAACUUAUUGGCCAGAAUCAGUGCCAUGGUUCCACCCAACCUUCAAAAGGCAAUCCUGCCAUAUGCCUGGAAGGCAGGGGAGUUUGAAAAUAUUUGGCAAACAGCAUGUAUGAUUACUGGAGCUGAGACUUCCCAGUAGGAAAGGGACUGAUUUUCCUUAUUUCCUAAACACUUCUACCAUUUGUUUUGGAGUGUAGAAAAGCAAGUUAUCAACAUCAGAACGUGGUGAUAACAACUGUGGCUAGACACCAAAAGCACAGUCUUUUUGGGAAAUCUUUCAGUGACAUCUUUGCCCAUAAAUAAGGACUCUCAUAGGCUUCCUCUGUAUCUGCUUUACAACGUACACUCCAUCCUACAGUAAUUGGGCAAUAACAGAUAUGACUGAAAUCCCUACCAGUUUAGUUUAUCUUGAGCCCUACGAUAGCACAAGUUAUUUCAAGAGCUUGUGACUAUAAUCAUGUGAAAGUCCUGUUGAGAUGAAAAAUUAUGUCUAACUUCAAAUGGAAGAACUUGUGUAAAAUAAAGUGUGACUAUAUCUCAUAUCAAAUGUCAAAGUUGUACCUGUGAAUGGUUUUCUCCAAGAACAUAUAAAAGUCAAUAAAAUCCUCUUACUUUUCACAUUAAAAAAAUAGUCUGCUUGGAGAAUUCCUCCUGU